rnacentral:lncRNA from 7 species
AGGAGUGUGAAACAAGUGAGUUAAGGUGGGAAUGAGUACUUCUUUCUUUCUCCUCUUCCGCCAUGAAAUAGCAACUUCUAAAAAAGGGGUGCUGCAGAUGGUGAAGUCUUAAAUUACCACGGUGAGCUUUGCCGGAGGGCGUCUCUGGUCCCCUUAGAUGGAGCCCGUCUGCAGCUGAUUCACAGAAGGUCACGUUUGCCUGUCCUGCCCUACUCCUGAGCUUACUCAUGUAGUCAGCGCGGCUGACAGGGAUGAAAGAGCGGAACUGCUUGAACACAUUUGAUAUGGCUCUAGACAGGCAGACUGAUUUGCAAACUCAAAGCACAGGAGAGACUGAGAGCGAUUGCAGCGGAUUACUAAUUAGCUCGGAAACACAGAGGCGAGGCGUGAGGGAGGAACGUGGCUGCAGCUGAGUGGAAAGGUCAAUCUGAAAAGGAACAAACAGCGAGAACAGAGCAAAAGACUGUAGCUGGGAAACAGCCAGAGUCCUUUUCUUCUGCGUUCUCAUAGCUUAAUGCCUCCACUGGACUGCUUCCGAAGGAGCAGUCUUUCUGCAGGUGCAGUGUUGUAACAGCUGUGAAACAUUAGUCACCGUUUUAUCAGUGUUAAAACGUUCAAGACAAUGCUUCUAAGAGCACUAUCACUCAACAUACUAUCUAGUAAUUCUAUUGCAACAAGUCAGAAGAUUGAAUAAAACCUUCCAUUCAUGUUGCUCAUCUUGUUCUGUACCCGUGACUGGAGAUCAGCAAGUCUGAGUAAACCCCUUCCAGCUGUAAGCUCUGUGUGUUUAUACUGCAACAGUUCAGUAAAUCCAUUCAGCUUCCAG